GCAUUUUAUGGAAAUAGCACAGCUAUGACUUGCCAUCAGUUCAGCCAGCAGUCAAGCAAAGAAUGGAGCUCAGUUUUGCAAAGUCUGUCCAGGAAUAUAUCUACUAGAUUGCUUUACCCCUGAAUGAGAAGUUUGCCUUCAUUUUCUUACUAAGAUUUGGUCUGGAACCAACUAGCAACUGCAGCAGUUUCUGCUAUGGCUUCACAACCCAGUGUUAUGAAAAACAUGCUGAACAAAACAGAGAAGUGAAGAGAUGUACUAUUCCCGGUCUGAAAGUUAAAUAAAUUUUACUGACAAAUUCCCAAUCAGGAAUAGACCAGUGUCUGCUGACUCUAACGUCCAUUCUCUUAGUGUUGAAACGUAUGGAAACACACUGCAGUUGUGUACUGAAGGUAUAUGACGGCAGGGAAUUAGCAGUUUCAAUGAAGAGCACUGCAACAUCAGACACUCAUGAGAAAGUCAUUACAGUGCUUAAAUGGGGGCCAGGAGGACUGUUUUUCUAAAGACACAGAUGGAUGCUGAACAUAGACUUCAGAAGAUGAGCCUAUGAGGAGCUACCUGAAAAUCCUGCCUUUGUGCCAUUAAUACUAGUGGGUGUUAAGUGGUCGUACAGCAAGGAGGAGCUAUCUUCGCCUCUCCUGGCACCAGUAAAGCCUCAGCAGCAGCUCUCAUCUGUCUUAGUGACCAACACAAAACCUGUGGAUUGGGCCCUGGAAUUAAAAGUGCUUUAUAUUUUUGAAAUCGCUAGUUAAUAAAUAAGGGGCCAGCAGAUUCUACAAAAACCA